GACGAACGCUGGCGGCGUGCUUAACACAUGCAAGUCGAGCGGUAAGGCCCUUUCGGGGGUACACGAGCGGCGAACGGGUGAGUAACACGUGGGUAAUCUGCCCUGCACUCUGGGAUAAGCCCGGGAAACUGGGUCUAAUACCGGAUAUGACUUUCUUACGCAUGUAGGAAGGUAGGAAAGUUCCGGCGGUGCAGGAUGAACCCGCGGCCUAUCAGCUUGUUGGUGGGGUAAUGGCCUACCAAGGCGACGACGGGUAGCCGGCCUGAGAGGGCGACCGGUCACACUGGGACUGAGACACGGCCCAGACUCCUACGGGGAGGCAGCAGGUGGGGAAUAUUGCACAAUGGGCGAAAGCCUGAUGCAGCGACGCCGCGUGAGGGAUGACGGCC
rnacentral:rRNA from 1 species